ACCACAGCAUGACUGUUUCAAGCAGCUGGAAAAUGGAUAUUCUCUUUUUGAACUGGUUGGUCAUCCCUAAUGUUCCAGCCCAUGAAGAAGCUGCUUUCUUAUAUACAAUGAAUCCUGAAGACCAUAAUUCCAAUCAAAUUUCUUGAAGGCCUCCAUGAGCUCUUUGAUUGUCAAGUCCAGACCAUACAAUGUUUUGCUCACAAUGUUCAUUUUUUGUAUACAAUAUGGUACAGUCUUAGAAAAACAAGAAACAAAAAUUCAGAAAUGUUUGUUUGCAAGCUA